UUUAAACUUGAGAGUUUGAUCAUGGCUCAGAACGUACGCUGGCGGCACGCCUAACACAUGCAAGUCGAACGGAGUAGCAAUACUUAGUGGCAGACGGGUGAGUAACAUGUAGGUAUCUGCCCUUUGGCCUGGAAUAACACGAGGAAACUUGUGCUAAUACCGGAUAAGUCUUUACGGAGAAAGCUUUAUGCACCAUUGGAUGAGCCUGCACUUGAUUAGUUUGUUGGUGGGGUAAUGGCCUACCAAGACUUUGAUCAAUAGCUGAUUUGAGAGGAUGAUCAGCCACAUUGGGACUGAGACACGGCCCAAACUCCUACGGGAGGCAGCAGUGGGGAAUCUUGCACAAUGGAGGAAACUCUGAUGCAGCGAUGCCGCGUGAGUGAAGAAGGCCUUUGGGUUGUAAAGCUCUUUCGUCGGGGAAGAAAAUGACUGUACCCGAAUAAGAAGGUCCGGCUAACUUCGUGCCAGCAGCCGCGGUAAUACGAAGGGACCUAGCGUAGUUCGGAAUUACUGGGCUUAAAGAGUUCGUAGGUGGUUGAAAAAGUUGGUGGUGAAAUCCCAGAGCUUAACUCUGGAACUGCCAUCAAAACUUUUCAGCUAGAGUUUGAUAGAGGAAAGCAGAAUUUCUAGUGUAGAGGUGAAAUUCGUAGAUAUUAGAAAGAAUACCAAUUGCGAAGGCAGCUUUCUGGAUCAUUACUGACACUGAGGAACGAAAGCAUGGGUAGCGAAGAGGAUUAGAUACCCUCGUAGUCCAUGCCGUAAACGAUGUGUGUUAGACGUUGGAAAUUUAUUUUCAGUGUCGCAGCGAAAGCAAUAAACACACCGCCUGGGGAGUACGACCGCAAGGUUAAAACUCAAAUGAAUUGACGGGGACCCGCACAAGUAGUGGAGCAUGUGGUUUAAUUCGAAGAUACGCGCAGAACCUUACCAACACUUGACAUGUUCGUCGCGACUCUAAGAGAUUAGAGUUUUCGGUUCGGCCGGACGAAACACAGGUGCUGCAUGGCUGUCGUCAGCUCGUGUCGUGAGAUGUUGGGUUAAGUCCCGCAACGAGCGCAACCCUCACUUUUAGUUGCCAUCAUUUAGUUGGGCACUCUGAAAGAACUGCCAGUGAUAAGCUGGAGGAAGGUGGGGAUGACGUCAAGUCCUCAUGGCCCUUACGUGUUGGGCUACACACGUGCUACAAUGGUAUCUACAACAGGAAGCAAGACGGCGACGUCAAGCAAAUCCUUAAAAGAUACCUCAGUUCGGAUUGCACUCUGCAACUCGAGUGCAUGAAGCUGGAAUUACUAGUAAUCGUGGAUCAGCGUGCCACGGUGAAUGCGUUCCCGGGUCUUGUACACACCGCCCGUCACACCAUGGGAGUUGGUUCUACCUUAAGGCAAGGUUUAAAACCCUUGACCACGGUAUAGUCAGCGACUGGGGUGAAGUCGUAACAAGGUAGCCGUAGGGGAACCUGCGGCUGGAUUACCUCCUUUCUAA
rnacentral:rRNA from 1 species